rnacentral:rRNA from 1 species
GAUGAACGCUAGCUACAGGCUUAACACAUGCAAGUCGAGGGGUAACGAGAGGAAAGCUUGCUUUCCUUGUCGACGACCGGCGCACGGGUGAGUAACGCGUAUCCAACCUGCCCCCAACUAAGGAAUAACCUUGCGAAAGUAAGACUAAUACCUUAUAAUUUCCUCAGAUGCCAUCUGACGAGGAAUAAAGAUUUAUCGGUUGUGGAUGGGGAUGCGUCUGAUUAGCUUGUUGGCGGGGUAACGGCCCAACAAGGAAACGAUCAGUAGGGGUUCCGGAAGGAACGUACCCCACAUGGGAACUGAGACACGGUCCAAACUCCUACGGGAAGCAGCAGUGGGGAAUAUUGGUCAAUGGGCGAAAGCCUGAACCAGCCAAGGAGGGUGCAGGAUGACGGACCUAUGGGUUGUAAACUGCUUUUAUACAGGAAUAAAGUUAGCCACGUGUGGUUAUUUGUAGGUACUGUAUGAAUAAGGACCGGCUAAUUCCGUGCCAGCAGCCGCGGUAACAC